GGGUUGUGAGGUUAAGCGACUAAGCGUACACGGUGGAUGCCCUGGCAGUCAGAGGCGAUGAAGGGCGUGCUAAUCUGCGAUAAGCGCCGGUAAGGUGAUAUGAACCGUUAUAACCGGCGAUACCCGAAUGGGGAAACCCAGUGUGACUCGUCACACUAUCAUUAACUGAAUCCAUAGGUUAAUGAGGCGAACCGGGGGAACUGAAACAUCUAAGUACCCCGAGGAAAAGAAAUCAACCGAGAUUCCCCCAGUAGCGGCGAGCGAACGGGGAGGAGCCCAGAGCCUGAAUCAGCAUGUGUGUUAGUGGAAGCGUCUGGAAAGGCGCGCGAUACAGGGUGACAGCCCCGUACACAAAAGCGCAUGUGCUGUGAGCUCGAUGAGUAGGGCGGGACACGUGGUAUCCUGUCUGAAUAUGGGGGGACCAUCCUCCAAGGCUAAAUACUCCUGACUGACCGAUAGUGAACCAGUACCGUGAGGGAAAGGCGAAAAGAACCCCGGCGAGGGGAGUGAAAAAGAACCUGAAACCGUGUACGUACAAGCAGUGGGAGCCCCACCACCAAAGCAUUUGCUGUACCGCGUUGACGGAGCGAAGCGACGUCAAACCGAUAAAACAGCAGUGUAAAGUGAGCCGCAGGGCGCUUUGCGCGACAGCGCAAAGGCAGGCGGUUUCGCGUAGCGAAAGCGAAUGCUUUGGGGUGGGGUGACUGCGUACCUUUUGUAUAAUGGGUCAGCGACUUAUAUUCUGUAGCAAGGUUAACCGAAUAGGGGAGCCGGAGGGAAACCGAGUCUUAAUUGGGCGUUAAGUUGCAGGGUAUAGACCCGAAACCCGGUGAUCUAGCCAUGGGCAGGUUGAAGGUUGGGUAACACUAACUGGAGGACCGAACCGACUAAUGUUGAAAAAUUAGCGGAUGACCUGUGGCUGGGGGUGAAAGGCCAAUCAAACCGGGAGAUAGCUGGUUCUCCCCGAAAGCUAUUUAGGUAGCGCCUCGUGAAUUCAUCUCCGGGGGUAGAGCACUGUUUCGGCUAGGGGGCCAUCCCGGCUUACCAACCCGAUGCAAACUGCGAAUACCGGAGAAUGUUAUCACGGGAGACACACGGCGGGUGCUAACGUCCGUCGUGAAGAGGGAAACAACCCAGACCGCCAGCUAAGGUCCCAAAGUCAUGGUUAAGUGGGAAACGAUGUGGGAAGGCCCAGACAGCCAGGAUGUUGGCUUAGAAGCAGCCAUCAUUUAAAGAAAGCGUAAUAGCUCACUGGUCGAGUCGGCCUGCGCGGAAGAUGUAACGGGGCUAAACCAUGCACCGAAGCUGCGGCAGCGAACGUAUCACUUAAAGCGAUUCAGCGGGUUACGAUUGACGGAGCGAAGCGACGUCAAAGCGUAUACAAAGUCGAGUCGGUUUAAGGAUACGUUCGUUGGGUAGGGGAGCGUUC
rnacentral:rRNA from 1 species